UUAUAUAAGAGCAAACAGAAGGCAAUUUCCAGGGUGUAUGUGUCACACAAUACUGGGAGAAGAGCAUAAAGUGGGACCUAACUCACCAGGGGACGUCAGCAGAGGCAUACACCCUUAGCAUAGCCUUUUUAGGUCAACAAGCAACCUGAGAGAUGACUGACCUUCCAAAACCUUUGAGACUCAGCCAUCUUGGGGAGAGGAAGUAACAACAUCAACAACCAGCCCUCUCCAGCCUUUGACCAUUCUCUCCUUGCACCCAAAGGAGGCCUAUUAGCAAGAAGCACCAUGCCAGCUGAACAUCACCAUCUGCUGCCUUGCUUAUGCUUCCAGCUCCUACUCUGCAAGAGUCCAGAAGACCGUGGGAGCAGGAGAUUUGCACCCCCCAAGUUGUAUUAAGUAUAUUGUUUUUCCUUUUUCUGUGUUUGCUUAUUAGCUGGGAGCUGUCCCAGCCUUUUUAGUUUUGGAGUGUGUAAGUGAAAGCGUGGCUGUGUGUGUGAGCACCCAUAAAGUCCGCCCAUAAAGGUGCCUGACAGAAAAGUUCCCCAGGCUUAGCCAGGUUUAAAUAUUGUCUAAUAAAAUUAUUCAUUAGUGUGUGUUCUGUAUUUAAAGUCCUGAGAGGCUUGAAAUUGUCAUAUGUAAUUUCUGGUAAAUAAGGGUUGUUAACUUUCUGUUUAGCAUGCUUGUUAAAGUCUGUGUUAGAAUAUCUGUGUUGGGGAGGAGAGGUUAGCCACCACAGAGGAACUGAAAUCUAAGAAGGAAACUUUAUAAUGGGCUCUGAGGUUGAGACAUUAGAUAAUAAUUUGUUUUCAGUGUUAAGCUACUUAACCAUUCAAAUUAUAUUUAUAUUUAAAUAUAAUAUAUAUUUUGACUGACUGUGGUGAAAUCUUUUUAGGGACUUGUAACCAUUUGACAGCUACCUUCUUAGACUCCUUGGAAUGUAUAAGGAUUGAUCAUUUUCAGCACUAAUUUGGUGACUUAACUCUAUUCCAAUACUGAGACUGAUCUGAUGUUGAUUUGAUGUACUUUAUUCUUACUGUAGUUAGUUAAUACAAUGAAUAGUAGUUUAGCUUUGGUGA